rnacentral:tRNA from 1 species
GUCGGCGUAGCUCAGGUAGUUAGAGCGUGGGACUCAUAAGCCCAAGGUCCCCCGUGCAAUUCGGGGCGCCGACA